rnacentral:rRNA from 1 species
CAACUUUCAACAACGGAUCUCUUGGCUCUCGCAUCGAUGAAGAACGCAGCGAAAUGCGAUAAGUAAUGUGAAUUGCAGAUUUCAGUGAAUCAUCGAAUCUUUGAACGCACCUUGCGCUCCUUGGUAUUCCGAGGAGCAUGCCUGUUUGAGUGUCAUUA